UACGGAGGGUGCUAGCGUUGUUCGGAAUCACUGGGCGUAAAGGGCGUGUAGGCGGCCUGCUAAGUCGGAUGUGAAAUCCCGCGGCUCAACCGAGGAACUGCAUCCGAUACUGGCGGGCUUGAAUCCGGGAGAGGGAUGUGGAAUUCCAGGUGUAGCGGUGAAAUGCGUAGAUAUCUGGAGGAACACCGGUGGCGAAGGCGGCAUCCUGGACCGGUAUUGACGCUGAGGCGCGAAAGCUAGGGGAGCAAACGGGG
rnacentral:rRNA from 1 species